CUACGGGUGGCUGCAGUGGGGAAUAUUGCACAAUGGGCGCAAGCCUGAUGCAGCCAUGCCGCGUGUGUGAAGAAGGCCUUCGGGUUGUAAAGCACUUUCAGCGGGGAGGAAGGCGGUGAGGUUAAUAACCUCAUCGAUUGACGUUACCCGCAGAAGAAGCACCGGCUAACUCCGUGCCAGCAGCCGCGGUAAUACGGAGGGUGCAAGCGUUAAUCGGAAUUACUGGGCGUAAAGCGCACGCAGGCGGUCUGUCAAGUCGGAUGUGAAAUCCCCGGGCUCAACCUGGGAACUGCAUUCGAAACUGGCAGGCUAGAGUCUUGUAGAGGGGGGUAGAAUUCCAGGUGUAGCGGUGAAAUGUGUAGAGAUCUGGAGGAAUACCGGUGGCGAAGGCGGCCCCCUGGACAAAGACUGACGCUCAGGUGCGAAAGCGUGGGGAGCAAACAGGAUUAGAUACCCGUGUAGUC
rnacentral:rRNA from 1 species